UAAAAAUGGGCGAUCCUUCUCAAUGUAGGUACAUAGUGCUUCAGCCAUCCUGAAAGAAUCAAGAGCAAAAAACAGAAGUAGGAGAAAGUUUCUUCCAUGUAAUGAAAUAGUUAAACAACCGCCAAACAUUGAUUUAAACUCAUAGCUUAACGCGCACAAAUUGUUUCAAACUGCAUUUAGCACGUAUCCGGUCUUGUUAAGGACAUCCAUG
rnacentral:misc_RNA from 1 species